GGUCCCAUAGCUCAGCUGGUUAGAGCGUCUGUCUUACACACAGAAGGUCGUCUGUUCGAAUCAGACUGGGACCA
rnacentral:tRNA from 1 species